rnacentral:rRNA from 1 species
CGGGGUGCACCAGGCGCGAAAACUCUACAAUGCAGGCAACUGCGAUAGGGGAACAUCGAGUGAUACUCAUCUUGGGUGUCUGUCCUCCCGUCUAAAAAACGGGAGUUAGCAAGGGCCGGGCAAGACCGGUGCCAGCCGCCGCGGUAAUACCGGCGGCUCGAGUGGUGGCCGAUAUUAUUGAGUCUAAAGGGUCCGUAGCCGGCUUUGCAAGUCUUUUGGGAAAUCCAGCGGCUUAACCGUUGGUCGUCCGGGAGAUACUACAUUGCUUGGGACUGGGAGAGGUAGGAGGUACUCAGGGGGUAGGAGUGAAAUCCUGUAAUCCUUUGGGGACCACCGGUGGCGAAGGCGUCCUACCAGAACAGGUCCGACGGUGAGGGACGAAAGCUAGGGGCACGAACCGGAUUAGAUACCCGGGUAGUCCUAGCCGUAAACGAUGCUCGCUAGGUGUCACAACAAUCGUGAAUUGUUGUGGUGCCGUAGGGAAGCCGUGAAGCGAGCCACUUGGGAAGUACGACCGCAAGGUUGAAACUUAAAGGAAUUGGCGGGGGAGCACAAGGGCAAUUCGCGGC